CCGUCAAUUCAUUUGAGUUUCACCGUUGCCGGCGUACUCCCCAGGUGGAUUACUUAUCGCUUUCGCUUGGUCGCUGACUGUCAUAUCGCCAACAACGAGUAAUCAUCGUUUACGGUGCGGACUACCAGGGUAUCUAAUCCUGUUUGAUCCCCGCACUUUCGUGCCUCAGCGUCAGUUAUAGUUUCGUUAGCUGCCUUCGCAAUCGGUGUUCUAUGACAUAUCUAAGUAUUUCACCACUACAUGUCAUAUUCCGCCAACGUCAUCUAUACUCUAGACCGACAGUAUCAAUGGCAGUUUCUCAGUUAAGCUGAGAGAUUUCACCACUGACUUAUCAGUCCGCCUACGCACCCUUUAAACCCAAUGAAUCCGGAUAACGCUUGCAUCCUUCGUCUUACCGCGG
rnacentral:misc_RNA from 1 species